CCCUAUCUACUUUCUUGAAUACUACUAGGCAAUACUGAAGUUGCCUUGAAAAGUAGUUUUGAUUUGAUAGCUUCAACGAAAGCUUAUCAAAUUUGGCGCCGUUGCCGGGGAACUACGGUAAGUAUUUUGAAUAUUUUGAUUCUCAUUUUUAUUUUUAUUUUUUUCAUUUGUUUUUUUCCUAACGCAUAUACAUUUAAUUUAGUUUGAGUUAUUUUGUAGCAUUUAGUUAUUCUUCAGAAAAACUCUUUGUUCAUUCUUUAAUUAAGAAUUUCUCUUGAGA
rnacentral:lncRNA from 1 species